GGGGAAUAUUGCACAAUGGAGGAAACUCUGAUGCAGCGAUGCCGCGUGAGGGAAGAAGGUUUUCGGAUUGUAAACCUCUGUGUACAGGGACGAUAAUGACGGUACCUGUUCAGAAAGCUCCGGCUAACUACGUGCCAGCAGCCGCGGUAAUACGUAGGGAGCGAGCGUUGUCCGGAAUUACUGGGUGUAAAGGGAGUGUAGGCGGGACGGCAAGUCAGAUGUGAAAUUUAGGGGCUCAACCCCUGACCUGCAUUUGAAACUGCUGUUCUUGAGUGAAGUAGAGGUAAGCGGAAUUCCUAGUGUAGCGGUGAAAUGCGUAGAUAUUAGGAGGAACAUCAGUGGCGAAGGCGGCUUACUGGGCUUUAACUGACGCUGAGGCUCGAAAGCGUGGGGAGCAAACAGGAUUAGAUACCCUGGUAGUCCACGCCGUAAACGAUGAUUACUAGGUGUGGGGGGACUGACCCCUUCCGUGCCGCAGUUAACACAAUAAGUAAUCCACCUGGGGAGUACGGUCGCAAGACUGAAACUCAAAGGAAUUGACGGGGGCCCGCACAAGCAGUGGAGUAUGUGGAUUAAUUCGAAGCAACGCGAAGAACCUUACCAGGUCUUGACAUCGAUCGAAUCCGAAAGAGAUUUUGGAGUGCCCUUCGGGGAACGUGAAGACAGGUGGUGCAUGGUUGUCGUCAGCUCGUGUCGUGAGAUGUUGGGUUAAGUCCCGCAACGAGCGCAACCCUUAUGUUUAGUUGCUACGCAAGAGCACUCUAGACAGACUGCCGUUGACAAAACGGAGGAAGGUGGGGAUGACGUCAAAUCAUCAUGCCCCUUAUGACCUGGGCCUCACACGUACUACAAUGGCUGUAAACAGAGGGAAGCUAAGCAGUGAUGUGGAGCAAAUCCCCAAAAGCAGUCUUAGUUCGGAUUGUAGGCUGCAACCCGCCUACAUGAAGUCGGAAUUGCUAGUAAUCGCGGAUCAGCAUGCCGCGGUGAAUACGUUCCCG
rnacentral:rRNA from 1 species